rfam:Yokenella regensburgei ATCC 43003 genomic scaffold Scfld157, whole genome shotgun sequence.
CUCAAUGGUGGGCCGGGUGAGGGCGUCGUAAGACGCGCCGGUUGCCAACAAGGCCGGUAAGGCUAACCUCGUCCGGUUCCGCCACCCGU